GAUCAGUGAUGGAAAUAGCCAAACCUGAGCAUCAAAGGCCCCACCCGUGUGCCUCGAUGCAUUAUCUCCAUAGUCUGAGA